rnacentral:rRNA from 1 species
GUGGUUUAAUUCGAAGCAACGCGAAGAACCUUACCAGGUCUUGACAUCCCCUGACAACCCGAGAGAUCGGGCGUCCCCUUCGGGGGACAGGGUGACAGGUGGUGCAUGGUUGUCGUCAGCUCGUGUCGUGAGAUGUUGGGUUAAGUCCCGCAACGAGCGCAACCCUCGACCUUAGUUGCCAGCAUUCAGUUGGGCACUCUAAGGUGACUGCCGGCUAAAAGUCGGAGGAAGUGGGGAUGACGUCAAAUCAUCAUGCCCCUUAUGACCUGGGCUACACACGUGCUACAAUGGGCGGUACAAAGGGUCGCGAACCCGCGAGGGGGAGCCAAUCCCAAAAAGCCGCUCUCAGUUCGGAUUGCAGGCUGCAACUCGCCUGCAUGAAGCCGGAAUCGCUAGUAAUCGCGGAUCAGCAUGCCGCGGUGAAUACGUUCCCGGGCCUU